AUUGAACGCUGGCGGCAUGCCUUACACAUGCAAGUCGAACGGCAGCAUGGGAGCAAUCCUGGUGGCGAGUGGCGAACGGGUGAGUAAUAUAUCGGAACGUGCCCAGUCGUGGGGGAUAACGUAGCGAAAGCUACGCUAAUACCGCAUACGAUCUAUGGCUGAAAGCGGGGGAUCGCAAGACCUCGCGCGAUUGGAGCGGCCGAUAUCAGAUUAGGUGGUUGGUGAGGUAAAGGCUCACCAAGCCGACGAUCUGUAGCUGGUCUGAGAGGACGACCAGCCACACUGGGGCUGAGACACGGCCCAGACUCCUACGGGAGGCAGCAGUGGGGAAUUUUGGACAAUGGGCGCAAGCCUGAUCCAGCAAUGCCGCGUGCAGGAUGAAGGCCUUCGGGUUGUAAACUGCUUUUGUACGGAGCGAAAAGGCUUCCACUAAUACUGGGGGCUCAUGACGGUACCGUAAGAAUAAGCACCGGCUAACUACGUGCCAGCCGCCGCUGUAAUAC
rnacentral:rRNA from 1 species